CUAAAGGCGAUGAGGGAAAGAGUAGCCGCAUCUGCCAUUAAGAGAGCCGGUGGGUGGUGCGAACCGGCUGGGGCUGCGGUGAAGUACAUUCCCAGAGCCGCAGGCUGAAAGGGAAAAUGCACCGAGUAGGCUGAGCCGCUCCUCCGCGUUAAAGGAGAAGAGUGGAUUUAUCACGGAACUUGCCGUGGUAAAUCAACUAGGGUGGUACCGCGGGAAAUCCUCGCCCCUUUU
rnacentral:ncRNA from 1 species